AAUCCAAGCUCAGUCCGUUGGUAUGCCCCAUGGCUGGAUUUGCUUGCUUUGCUGUGUACUGGAGGUGCUCAAUGAAAUCCGUCAGUUUGCUCUUGGUCUUGGAGGAUUACGGAAGAGGAUAUGUAGAUCCUUCCAAUCCCUAGCAAUGUACUAGAAGUUAUAAAUGGUGGUCAGUAUCAGCCACUACAUGUCGGAGCUGUUGCGGGAGCACCAGAAGCUUGUCCUGUUUCACGCAGGUGCUACCAAUCUACAUCAAGCUGUUGGGCCACGAGAUAAUGCGGGUGUCCUCCUUGCUUAAGCAACAUCAUGGUGGGGACCUUCAGAGGUUGCCGUCAGUGGCGAGUCCAAACCAGAUGCAUCAUCAUCUGCCGCCACCAAUGCCUAAUUUCUGUGGAAAUGGUUUUGGC